rnacentral:lncRNA from 1 species
GUCAGUCUGUGAUAUGUCAAAGGUUUGGGAGAAAUUUGACCUAGAGAUUGCUGCUACACCAAUGCCUGAACCUUAUCAACAUAAAAUGGUCAGUGCUCCUAUUUUAACUACGAUGAUUGUGGAUAUUACAUGUUAUACAUACUAAUUACACAAUAACCUACACCUUCGAUAUAUUUUGUGGUUGCCCUAGAUUUUUAAGCUUUUAUCUUUUCGUUCUGCAAUCUGCAUGUAUUUUUGUGGCAUGCCCAAUCAAAUAUCAGACGGCCUAAUGUUGUUUCUCUCCACAGGUUUGGAUUCUUUGUAAUGACUGUGGUAAAACUUCUCACGUUCAGUUCCAUUUUGUGGGUCAAAAGUGCCUGAACUGCAGGUCCUACAAUACACGACAAACAUGAGGCUGAGCAAGUGGCGACGAUAUUAUACAUUGGUUUCAUCAAACGCAUUCACAGGAGUUAUCCUGAUAUUGUGGUGAUUCGUAAAGGCAUUACGGAAAAGCCACUCAACGGUACCAAUUUCGUGCUAAAUCCAAUAUUUGUAUUGUG